rnacentral:lncRNA from 1 species
CUGGGAGCGAAGGUGGAGAUCAUCUCCCCAGGAGUUGGAUACCUUCCGGAAGCCGGGAUGCUUUAAGAUGGAAAGAAAUUUGACUCUUCAAAGGACAGAAAUGAGCCCUUUAAGUGUGUGCUAGGCAAGCAGAAGGUGACCCGGGAGUGGGAGGUAGGGGUUGCCCAGAUGAAUGUGGGUCACAGAGCCAAACUGAAUGUAUCUCUAGACUAUGCUUUCAGUGCCACUGGGCACCAGGGCAUCAUGCCACUCUUGUCUUCAACAUGGAGCUUCUAAGACUGGG